AGUUGAUUUGGGAUGGGAUUUCAGCCGAUGUAAGCUAAAAAGUUUGGAUUUCUAGCUUGCCUCUCUCUUGAUGGUUAAUCUAUGUCUGCAUGGAGACGGAUGAUCAUCUGUGGAUAUGUGACUUAUUCACUACUAAUGGUAGGAGCUGGAGAGUAUAGAAUGUCAUCCAUCUUUUUGAUGGUCUACUCACUGAUCAGAUUCUUAUCAUUCCGAUGUCU
rnacentral:lncRNA from 1 species